UGUAAAUGCUGAAUGCCACCUGGAUUU
rnacentral:piRNA from 1 species